rnacentral:rRNA from 1 species
UAAUACGGGGGGAGCAAGCGUUGUUCGGAUUUACUGGGCGUAAAGGGCGCGUAGGCGGCCAGCACAAGUCAGUUGUGAAAUCUCCGAGCUUAACUCGGAAAGGUCAACUGAUACUGUGCGGCUAGAGUGCGGAAGGGGCAACUGGAAUUCUUGGUGUAGCGGUGAAAUGCGUAGAUAUCAAGAGGAACACCUGCGGCGAAGGCGGGUUGCUGGGCCGACACUGACGCUGAGGCGCGAAAGCUAGGGGAGCGAACGGGAUUAGAUACCCCGGUAGUCCUAGCCUUAAACGAUGAAUGCUUGGUGUCUGGGGUUAUAAAGUCCCCGGGUGCCGUCGCUAACGUUUUUAGUAUUCCGCCUGGGGAGUACGCUCGCAAGAGUG